GCGUGGGUGCCCGAGCGGUCGAAGGGACGAGACUCAAAGCACGGAAAUCUCGUGACACAGGUCUAACAUCGUAGGUUCGAAUCCUACCCCACGCA
rnacentral:tRNA from 1 species